rnacentral:rRNA from 1 species
CGGACGGGUGAGUAAUGUCUGGGAAACUGCCUGAUGGAGGGGGAUAACUACUGGAAACGGUAGCUAAUACCGCAUAACGUCGCAAGACCAAAGAGGGGGACCUUCGGGCCCCUUGCCAUCGGAUGUGCCCAGAUGGGAUUAGCUAGUAGGUGGGGUAACGGCUCACCUAGGCGACGAUCCCUAGCUGGUCUGAGAGGAUGGCCAGCCACACUGGAACUGAGACACGGUCCAG